rnacentral:rRNA from 1 species
CAAGAGCGUAUGUAAAAGUUGUUGCAGUUAAAAAGCUCGUAGUUGAACCUUGGGUUUGGUUGGCCGGUCCGCUUUUUUGCGAGUACUGGAUUCAACCGAGCCUUUCCUUCUGACUAACCAGUCGUUUCGGCGGCUGGCGAACCAGGAUUUUUACUUUGAGAAAAUUAGAGUGUUCAAAGCAGGCAUUAGCUUGAAUAUAUUAGCAUGGAAUAAUAGAAUAGGACGUUAUGGUUCUAUUUUGUUGGUUUCUAGGACCAUCGUAAUGAUUAAUAGGGACGGUCGGGGGCAUCAGUAUUCAGUUGUCAGAGGUGAAAUUCUUGGAUUUACUGAAGACUAACUACUGCGAAAGCAUUUGCCAAGGACGUUUUCAUUAA